AUGGAGCGGACGAACUGGCGUGGGGGAGACGCUCCAGCCUUCUCCUCUCACCAGCAUAGGCGCGCUCCUCUCUAUCUCCCCCCUGGUUUUCGAGGAAGCCCCUGUCGGACCGAAAGCGGGAAGGAGCCGUUGGCAUUAUGCGUUGCAGAUUUAGGCCUCAAGGCUGAACUGGAUGUUCGAGGUACCUGCGGAGUUGUAAAUUCGUAUGCUGAUUAUACAACAUGCCGGUGAAGCUCCUUCGUGGCCGGUGGCCUCAUGCCAAGGUGCUUCAGCCAUCCCCGCUCAGGUUUUUCCACAGCAAAUCCUCACCUGGACGGUGGCCCUGCUGCCUGUUCAGUCGGGUGGGCACUCAAAGACAAGCAAUGCUUGCGCCUUCUCGGGAUCAGGAGCACUACAUCACCGAGAAACUACGCCUGAUAUUCCAUGUAGGAGUGGAAUACGUGAAUAAUAACAUAUGGGAAGGACCACCUGUAUAUUUGAGAGUGGAAUUUCAGGUGUGUCGUGAUUCACAAGCGAGAAAGUUAGCAAAUAGUAAUUUCUAGCAUAUGUUUCAAGACAACGGAAAAUUUGGUUUUUAUGUUUGUACUGUUUCUUCAUUAUUACAAAAAAAUAUUUAUGGCUAUCUAAUUCUGCACCGCUUGCUUACUUGAAAUGCUUCCAUGGGAUCUUGAUUAUUAGUUACCUCAGCUUUUAUGAACUCUAGGGAAGGACAAUCAUGAAGAGAUGGACUGGAGCCACGAUACCAUUCCACACAAGCGUCUGAAGCUGGAGUUUGUCAAGUCCUCUGUGGUGCCAAGCAGCAUGUGUCGUUGUGGAUGUCCCCUCUUGGAUAACAAGUACGAGGGUUUCAAAAUGUGUCAACUUAUAGCACAUAAUUCAGUUUUUAGUGUUCCAUUAAACCUUAGGUGUGCAAUUUGAUAUUCUCAGUUUCCUAUAGAAUAUACCUUCGAUAUUUGGAUGAUUUAUGAGUGUCCAUCCAAGACAUUGAGUUCCAAAUCGGUAUAUA